rnacentral:rRNA from 1 species
UCAGGACGAACGCUGGCGGCGUGCCUAACACAUGCAAGUCGAGCGAGGAGAUCCUCGGGAUGAUCCUAGCGGCGGACGGGUGAGUAACACGUGGGCAACCUGCCUCAUAGAGAGGAAUAGCCUUCCGAAAGGGAGAUUAAUACCUCAUAACAUUGCAGUUUCGCAUGGAACAGCAAUUAAAGGAGCAAUCCGCUAUGAGAUGGGCCCGCGGCGCAUUAGCUAGUUGGUGAGGUAACGGCUCACCAAGGCGACGAUGCGUAGCCGACCUGAGAGGGUGAUCGGCCACAUUGGGACUGAGACACGGCCCAGACUCCUACGGGAGGCAGCAGUGGGGAAUAUUGCACAAUGGGGGAAACCCUGAUGCAGCCAACGCCGCGUGAGUGAUGACGGCCUUCGGGUUGUAAAGCUCUGUCUUCAGGGACGAUAAUGACGGUACCUGAGGAGGAAGCCACGGCUAACUACGUGCCAGCAGCUGC